CCUACGGGAGGCAGCAGUGGGGAAUAUUGGUCAAUGGCCGGAAGGCUGAACCAGCCAUGCCGCGUGAAGGUCAGUGCCCUAUGGGCGUUAAACUUCUUUUGUGCGGGAGCAAUAAUGGUCACGUGUGGCCAGACGAGAGUACCGUACGAAUAAGCAUCGGCUAACUCCGUGCCAGCAGCGGCGGUAAUACGGGGGAUGCAAGCGUGAUCCGGAUUUAUUGGGUGUAAAGGGUGCGUAGACUGGGAGGUACGUGAGCGGUGAAAUGCCCCCGCUCAACGGGGUGACGUGCCAUUGAUACUGCCGUGCUGGAAUGCGGAUGCCGUGGGAGGAAUGUGUGGUGUAGCGGUGAAAUGCAUAGAUAUCACACAGAACACCGAUUGCGAAGGCAUCUCACGAAUCCGCGAUUGACGCUGAGGCACGAAAGCGUGGGUAUCAAACAGGAUUAGAUACCCUAGUAGUC
rnacentral:rRNA from 1 species